rnacentral:rRNA from 1 species
AGAUUGAACGCUGGCGGCAUGCUUUACACAUGCAAGUCGAGCGGCAGCGCGGGGGCAACCCUGGCGGCGAGCGGCGAACGGGUGAGGAAUACAUCGGAACGUACCCCGGAGUGGGGGGAUAACGCCGCGAAAGCGGCGCUAAUACCGCAUAUGCUCUGAGGAGGAAAGUGGGGGGACUCGCAAGGGCCUCACGCUCUGGGAGCGGCCGAUGUCCGAUUAGCUAGUUGGUGAGGUAAUGGCUCACCAAGGCGACGAUCGGUAGCUGGUCUGAGAGGAUGAUCAGCCACACUGGACUGAGACACGGCCAGACUCCUACGGGAGGCAGCGAGUGGGGUAACUUUUUGGACAAGUGGGGGGACCAACCCGUGACUCCGACGCCAUCGGCCGCGGUGGCGGGGAAAGAACGGCCGUUUCGGGUUACGGUAAACCGUCGUUCGUAGGUACGGGAAAGUAAAAGGUUAC